rnacentral:lncRNA from 1 species
UUCUUUGAUGUUUGGUAUUAAUGUUUUCAUACAAUGAAAGGUGAUAAAGUAAUGCUGUUUUUAUUGUGCACUGGGAUUGCUAAUUGUUAAAAUUACAUCGUGUUUCCUUCCGUUUCAAUUCCUUUAUGACUUAAUAAUGUCAUGGCCAUCACUCAACAGGUCAGAUUACUCUCCCACUGUGUUAUCCUUCCCCUUGUCUUUUUCUCUCUUUCCUUAUUUAAAGGAGACUUUUGCCUUUUCCAGAAUGACAUACCAUCAAAUAAUGCACAAAGCUAAGGAAGAGUCUUGCUUCUUCACUUUGAGGAAUUAACGGGAUUUUAAGUUGAAGUCCAAGAUAAGAACAUGAUAAAUGCUUCCAAAAUGUGAGAGACAACAUUUAAGAAAAUGCCAUUGCCUUAACCACGGUUGAUAUUUUGAAAUAAUCCUUGACGUUAUCUGUCCAUUGUGCUUUCUCUUCCCUUCAGAACCUCCUCAGACUCUACCCCUGUGAUAAUUCCCACACUGUUUCCCUUAGCAAUGCCUGUCUCUGUUUUAAAUAUUUUUGGCAAGCCUUUAAAUCUUUUCUUCUUUGGUUUUGGUUGUAUAAGAUAGAGAAGAUCUUGAUUUCCACACGUCUAUAGUCACUAAUGGUAACUGUUUGCUAUCGACUUGCUUCACAAUCUCAGAGACAUCUUAAAUGUACAUAAUCAAGAGUUAAAG